GAUGAACGCUAGCGGCAGGCUUAAUACAUGCAAGUCAAGGGGUAGGCAAUACAACCGGCGCACGGGUGGAGUAACGCGUACACAACAUACCAUAUACUGGAGUAUAGCUUUGGGAAACUAGAAGGUAAUCCUCCAUAACAUUGCGAGAGGGCAUCUGAUUGCAAUUAAAGUUUCGGCGGUAUAUGAUUGGUGUGCGUUUGUAUUAGCUAGUUGGUAGGGUAACGGCCUACCAAGGCGACGAUCAAUAGCUGGCGUGAGAGCGCGACCAGCCACACUGGAACUGAGACACGGUCCAGACUCCUACGGGAGGCAGCAGUAGGGAAUAUUGGACAAUGGAGGAAACUCUGAUCCAGCCAUGCCGCGUGAUAGAUGAAGGCCCUCUGGGUU
rnacentral:rRNA from 1 species